GGUUGCUGAACUCUUCGAGUUCCCUAAUAUGGACGGGGCUAUAGUACUGCAGAGUACACUUCAAUAACCAUCUGAUAAUCAAACAAGAUGAGGCUUCGGUGCAUGUUCUUGGUGCUGAUCAUCAGCAUACACAACGUAGGAGUUGAAUUGACUGAAUCGAUAUUUCAUAGAAGAAUGACCGAGGCCAUAAGAGCUAUAGCUGAC
rnacentral:misc_RNA from 1 species